rnacentral:rRNA from 1 species
GACGAACGCUGGCGGCGUGCUUAACACAUGCAAGUCGAACGGAAAGGCCCCUUUGGGGGUACUCGAGUGGCGCACGGGUGAGUAACACGUGAGUAACCUGCCCUUGACUUCGGGAUAACUUCAGGAAACUGGGGCUAAUACCGGAUAGGAAUCCUUGCUGCAUGGUGGGGGUUGGAAAGCUUCGGCGGUUUUGGAUGGACUCACGGCUUAUCAGCUUGUUGGUGGGGUAGUGGCUUACCAAGGCUUUGACGGGUAGCCGGCCUGAGAGGGCGACCGGCCACAUUGGGACUGAGAUACGGCCCAGACGCCUACGGGAGGCAGCAGUGGGGAAUAUUGCACAAUGGGCGGAAGCCUGAUGCAGCAACGCCGCGUGCGGGAUGACGGCCUUCGGGUUGUAAACCGCUUUCAGCAGGGGCGAAGCUUGUGGUGACGGUACCUGCAGAAGAAGCACCGGCUAACUACGUG